rfam:Ornithorhynchus anatinus chromosome X5, whole genome shotgun sequence.
CCCCUCUCAGGAUCGUACCUGGAGAGUUUCUAGGACUCUACCAGUCUCGGCUAUGGGAGGGAGAGUUGAGCAGAGGCCUGUCCAUUCCAUUCCUAGCUUGGGCAGUGACUAUCGAGUGGAAGGCCAUCUGCUACAAGU